GACGAACGCUGGCGGCGUGCUUAACACAUGCAAGUCGAACGCGUGGCGAACGGGUGAGUGACACGUUGGUGACCUUCCCUGCACUUCGGGUUAAUCCUGUGCAACUGGGUCUAAUACCGGCUAGUGUGGUAUGGGCCCGCGGCCUAUCCGCUUCUUGGUGGGGUAGUGGCUACCACGCCGCGACGGGUAGCCGGCCUGAGAGGGUGGACGGCCACAUGGGGACUGAGACACGGCCCAGACUCCUACGGGAGGCAGCAGUGGGGAAUAUGGCACAAUGGGCGCAAGCCUGAUGAAGCGACGCUGCGUGGGGGAUGACGGCCUUAGGGUUGUAAAGUACUUUCAGCGGGGAGGCGUUAACCGCAGAAGAAGCACCGGCUAACUCCGUGCCAGCAGCCGCGGUAAUAC
rnacentral:rRNA from 1 species